CAAAAACAUCGCCUCUUGAUUAACUAUAAGAGGUCCAGCCUGCCCAGUGACACACUUAAACGGCCGCGGUACCCUGACCGUGCGAAGGUAGCAUAAUCACUUGUUCUUUAAAUAAGGACUCGUAUCAACGGCAUCACGAGGGUUAUACUGUCUCCCUACUCUAAUCAGUGAAACUGACUUCCCCGUGAAGAGGCGGGGAUAAAAAUACAAGACGAGAAGACCCCAUGGAGCUUUAAACCCAAUGACAACCUCUACUAAGCACGCCCACAAAACAUAGAAACCCUGUCCAUUGGUUUUAGGUUGGGGUGACCACGGAGUAUAACUUAGCCUCCAUGACGAAUAGAUUUUCAACCUAAUUUAAGAGCUACAGCUCUAAAAAUCAAAAAUUUGACGCAAUGUGAUCCGGUAACCGAUCAACGAACCAAGUUACCCUGGGGAUAACAGCGCAAUCCAUUUCAAGAGCUCUUAUCGACAAAUGGGUUUACGACCUCGAUGUUGGAUCAGGGUAUCCCAGUGGUGCAGCCGCUACUAAAGGUUUGUUUGUUCAACAAUUAAAACCCUACGU
rnacentral:rRNA from 1 species